AUGGUUGUCGUCAGCUCGUGUCGUGAGAUGUUGGGUUAAGUCCCGCAACGAGCGCAACCCUCGACCUUAGUUGCCAUCUGGUAAAGCAGGGGACUCUAGCGAAACUGCCACCGUAAGGUGAGAGGAAGGUGGGGAUGACGUCAAUCAGCACGGCCCUUAUGUCCAGGGCUACACACGUGUUACAAUGGUCGGUACAGAGGGCAGCUACCUGGUGACAGGAUGCUAAUCUCGAAAAACCGGCCUCAGUUCGGAUCGAAGUCUGCAACUCGACUUCGUGAAGCUGGAUUCGCUAGUAAUCGCGCAUCAGCCAUGGCGCGGUGAAUACGUUCCCGGGCCUU
rnacentral:rRNA from 1 species